CCACUCUUGGGUAUAUACCCAGACACAACUCUACUUAAAAGAGACACAUGCACCCGCAUGUUCAUUGUAGCACUACUCACAAUAGCCAGGACAUGGAAACAACCCAAUUGUCCAUCCACAGAUGAUUGGAUUAGGAAGAUGUGGUGUAGAUAUACACAAUGGAAUACUACUCAGCCAUAAAAAAGAAUGAUAUAAUGCCAUUUGCAGCAACAUGGAUGGAACUAGAGAAUCUCAUACUGAGUGAAAUGAGCCAGAAAGACAAAGACAAAUACCAUGUAAUAUCACUUAUAACUGGAAUCUAAUAUCCAGCACAAAUGAACAUCUCCACAAAAAAGAAACUCAUGGGCUUGGAGAAUAGACUUGUGGCUGCCCAAUGGGAGAUGGAGGGAAUGGGAGGGAUCAGGAGCUUGGGGUUAUCAGAUACAACUUAGAAUAGAUUUACAAGGAGAUCCUGCUGAGUAGCAUUGAAAACAAUGUCUAGAUACUCAUAUUGCAACAGAACAAAGGGUGGGGAGAAAAAUGUAUAUAUGUAAGAAUAACUUGACCCCAUGCUGUACAGCGGGAAAAAAUUUUUAAAAAUAUAUUAAAAAGUCACCUAUAGUAAAUAAAGCAUGAGUCAUAGUUAGGUAAACAUCCUUUUGUUAGUGAAUCAAUACACACAGAUCAGCUAUAUACCUAUAAAAACAAUUUGAAAGAAUUUGAGGUACAGAAUAACAAAUAAAAAUUAGAAUUAAUGUCUAUUGAGCAGUUGCUGCUUGCCAAGCAUUGUAGUAACUACAGUUGACCCUUGAACUAUGUGGAAAAGUUUGUAUUCAAUUAGAGAGCUCAAUAUGUGGACUCUAGGUAACAUUGGAGCCCUGAUUCUAUCCAAGCCAUUUCAGCUUCCUGCCCUUGGAUCACUUAUCAGUUCCUUUCCUUUAAAAGAAAAAAGAACAGAGACUGUCCAGAGCCUUCCUUUGACAAGGAAGCAGACAUUCAAUAAUGACUCGCUCCAUCCCUGGACUAUCCAGUUUUCUAAGCAUCCCAGGUGGAGAAGCUAACCGCAGAGGACAAUGGAGCAGCUGUGGGAAGCCAAGAGGGGGAUUCAGGAGCCAAGGAUAAACAAUCACUCAAACUUUGUUCUUGGUCCUCUCUGACAGAAGGAAAAGCUGCCAGGCCAACAAUCAUGGUACAGAGGUCACAAUGCACCACAAAAGAACUCUGCCAAAGGCAAGGUGCCUGUAGGAAUAGUAAGGCAUUGUCCUCACCUCAUGGGACCCCACCUACUCUGGCCUCUCUUCCUAAAUGACACUUUUGAGAAGCCUCUGAAACCAAAAGGGCUCAAGCCCAAAAGACUCCAUUUUCAGAACCAAAUAUCAGAACUUGAAGUCCAGCAAAGGUUUAUUGUUGUUAUUUGAUUUAUAUAAAAUGUUGUGGAAGGUUAAGUAAUUUAGUUGCACUGUUUGUGGAUUUACUAAAUCACUUUAAUUGAACAGAAUGAAAUAACAAGAAGUAAAUCCAGAAUAUGCAACGUUUAAGAAAUCAAAAUGUUAAAAAUAUUUCAGGAUGUUCCUGUCAUGGCUCAGUAGAAAUGAAUCCAACUAGUAUCCAUGAGGAUGGGGGUGUGAUCCCUGGCCUCGCUCAGUGGGUUAAGGAUCUGGUGUCGCUGUGAACUGUAGUGUAGGUGGCAGACUUGGCUCGGAUCCCAAGUUGCCGUGGCUGUGGUGUAGGCCAGCAGCUGCAGCUCCAAAUCAACUUCCAUAUGCUGUGAGCACAGCCCUAAAAAGCAAAAAAAAAAAAAAAAAAAAAAAUCCUUCAUAUUUACCUCUGAAGUUCUAAUAGUAGAUUUCAGUGGGGACUAUUUCUACUCCCCACAACUACAAAGCAAUCAAACAGGGUCAUAUGCAGUUAAAAAAAAAAAAAAGUACAUAUAUAUGUCUUUUUCCAUGACUCUCUGUUAAAACACAGACUCUGUGGAGACAAAUAUAAUUUAUGCUUCUUUGAUAACUUCCUCUCAAGAUCUCUUAUAGUGCUUUAUACAAUAGAGGAUGUUAUUACCUG
rnacentral:lncRNA from 1 species